AGACACAUCCAACCGGAGUGAGCAGGCUACCAAGGCCUAGGGCCGGGACAGGGGGGUCUCUCUCUGGUAAUGGUACGGAGCAGGAGAAGAAAGUACCAGAGGAUCGUACACACCGCUGAACUAUCAGCUACAGUGUAUAUGGGGUCUGACUAUUAUACUAGGUUUUAUAGACUUACAGAAUCAGAAUUUUUUCAGCAAUUAUUUUCAUUAUUUUAAAUGAUUUCCUGUCAUAAAUAAAUGUGAUAUUUAUUCAUUCCACUCUUUCAUUAUGUUUGUUACGUAUAAAUUGCAAGCUUGUUUGAUUGAUAACUGUUUUAUUAAUUGAAUUUGUUUACAUUUAGAAAUAUUAAGUAUUUUAAAACCUACAUUGAGGGUAAUUGUACAAAUGGUUUAGACUUGGGAUUUUAUUGUGUAUUUUUAAAAGUGUACUAUGGUAAUUAUUUACAAAACGUAAAGGUUUUUUUUUACCUAUGAUAUCCUAUUUUGAAAAUAAUUAUAUCAUUAAAGAGGUAAAUAAUUUAAGUGAGUGCAAUAUUAUUUCUAUUACUUCUGUUUUUGAUAUCUUUUAACAUUUGUUACAGUGAUAUAUUUCUGUGACUAUCUUUGUUUCUUGUGAAGAAUAUGGUAAGAAUCAUGGCAAUAUAUGUUUACUCAUAAUAUCUACAGUAUCUGGUUGCUUGUAAAUUAAAAAUUGUAUUUACUUAAAUUGGGUUUCUGUGAUUUUCAAAUAUAUGUUUACAACCUGUCAAAAACAUGUCUAUUUAUUAAUAAUAAAAUCUAUGAUAUAUU
rnacentral:misc_RNA from 1 species